CGUAGGUGGCAAGCGUUGUCCGGAUUUACUGGGCGUAAAGCGAACGCAGGCGGACCUUUAAGUAGGAGGUGAAAGGUUGGAGCUCAACUCUAACACUGCUCCCUAUACUGGAGGUCUUGAGUGCCGGAGAGGAAGACGGAACAAGUUGUGUAGCGGUGAAAUGCGUUGAUAUAACUUGGAACACCAAUGGCGAAAGCAGUCUUCUGGACGGAUACUGACGCUCAGGUUCGAAAGCCAAGGUAGCAAACAGGAUUAGAUACCCUGGUAGUCUUGGCCUUAAACGAUGUUCACUAGGUGUUGGGGGGUAACCCUCGGUGCCGCAGCUAACGCAUUAAGUGAACCGCCUGGGGACUACGGCCGCAAGGUUG
rnacentral:rRNA from 1 species